AUCUUUAUAGUUUAAUAUAAAAUAUGGUUUUGAAGCGACUAAGAAAGUGAGGGUA
rnacentral:tRNA from 1 species